rnacentral:lncRNA from 1 species
UCGGAUUUUUUGACUUUUUCUCCUUCUGGUAAGUGUAUGGUCUGCUGUUGUCAUCAUCAAGAAAAUCUUCCACCCCAAAAAAGCUUCUUGGAGCAAAAUAAGACUGUUAAAAUAUAACGAAAUGCAUGUGAACAUAAAAAACUUUCGAAUCUUAUAUCGAACUCCAAACACAAACAGAUGCAUGUUUUAUUGCUAUUGCAAGGCACUUUUCAAAUUCAAAAUUCAAAGCUUCAAUAGAUUUUUUAAGUUUGGGAACAUCAAGCUUCCAAUAACUUUCCAUUUUUUAUUCUAGAGAAAUAAACAGGCAGCUCUGACAGGGUUCUUAAAAGGAAACAGCUAACUUUUGCUGAACUCAUAUUAGGAGAGCAGGACUCAAGCUUCAUAUUUGAGCAUGCUAAAAAUGUGGAUGCAUAUAAUUAAUAUGUUCUAUUAUAGAAGUUCCUUUUACUAACACUCCAAGGCUUAAACACACGUUGCUUUAAAUGAAAAUAGACUCUAAGAGACUAUAUAACAAUAUAAUUUCUUUCAGCUUGAAAGAAACGCCAAAACAAAUCUUAGUCACUUCAACAUCAUGCAGGUUGAAGGGUGAUACUGCUCUUGAAAGCGCAACAGGCAAAGAUUCUUCUUUCUUUCUUGUUUUUACAAGCAUACUUCAUAGGAUCUCUCUUAAUAAGUUCAAUUGAUGCCUUUGCAUUGGAAGUAGUGGUUCCCAUGGUUGCAGGAAAAUGUAAGUUUAGACUUCGCUAACCUUACCUCUGAGGCUAGAUUCUCAAAGACUCCAUGUUGACCUAUGAAAUCAGGCUAAUAAAUGACUUCAUACACGAUUGCUGAUACAUCAAAAAGUUCACCCACUUUUGCCUUGUUUAUUUUAUAUCUACCAGAUAAACCUAGAAACCCUUCCUGGUGGCCAGAUGAAAUAGAACUCAAACAACAAUGGCAACAAGAAAUCAUUGAAUAAGCUAUUCCACCGCUAGAAAAUUAUUACUUGCAUAAAUAAGAAAAACUCAAUUUCUAUUUUCAUCUCUAGAUUUAGCACACUUCUCAAGCAAUACUUAUCCCAAUUGUUGAUUUGACAGCUACCAUGGAUGCAGGAUAAUGUUUGUCACUCUGUGCAAUUGCAAUAGCCAUUUAUUACUUAUCUAUUUCUACACAAAGCACCCAAAAUGUUGAAGCAAUAACUUAAUGAAUGAGUAACCCAAAAUUUCGACUAAAAAGUUUCUGUAUCAAUGAAGCAAUUCAAGGAUACAUGUUUAGCACCAGGAAAAAAUACUGAGUUUUUAUGAUUUAAAAGUGAUUUUAGCAUUCCAGUGUCCUGUCUCUCUCUCUCUCUUUACUUUACAGGAAGAUAGUGAUAAUUUUGUGAUUUUAUAUAACUAGACAGUGCGUUGAGAUAAGUGAUGAUUACAAAAGAUACAGGUAGAUAACAUUAAAUGGGUAAAACCUGAAGAUGAAACCUUAAUCUGGCAUAUUCUUCAAGGAGGAAUAAAUUCCCAUCUCUUAACAGAAAAGGAAAAAGUCGAUUAUUCAUAUAAAAUCAGCUUGCGAGCAAACACACAUACAAAUCUAUUCAAAAAAGUAAUUUGACUAGAUAGAAUUGGUUAUGAGAAUAUCCUAUGCAUACCUGAGAACUGUGAAAACCACUUGAUUGUGCACAUGAUAAUGGUCCGAUAUUAAUUCCUCCAUUCACACGUUCCCAUAACUUGCAACUCAAAAGCCUCAGCAUUGUAACGCGUACUCAAAACUCCUAAUAACAUUACCAGAUAAAGAGUAUAUCCAUCAGUUGAAACUUAAAUUCACUCUCAUAAAUAUGAGAAUUUCAAGCUUCAUAAGUUCACCCACACACACCUAUGCACAUAACAUUUGAUUCGGCAAAGUAUUGGAAGCAUAAUACUGAAUGCAUCUUUUUUUGGAGCAUCUGAUAGAAUAGGUAGAAUGUAAGAUUAGGUUAGACAAGUUCUUCUAUUUCUGAUCACUUGUUUAUGAUUGAACACUUAUUCAGUUGAAACUAACUCCAAAUCCAUUAUAGUGGGUUUAGAUAAUAUGAUCAUCAAUUAAACUACUGUAGCAAAGCAUUGGAGAGGAAUUCACACACAUACAGCGGUGGAACAAGAAAACUAUUACGGUGAGGGCGCGACUGAUGUGCACCUGCUUAAUUGAUAAACAUACGUCAUUAUAUGAGUCAUAAUUAAUCCAAAAUGCAUCACCACAUUUCCAUAUGCGCAAUUGAACCGACAAAGCAAUGCAGUUCUACUCAAUUUUACCAACAGGGAAAGGCCCAAACACUGAACAUGAACACGAAUUAACUCAAUUGAAGUGACGACAUAUAUAAACAACAAAGCAACCAACUAAAUAUCCCCCAAAUUAACUCAAUCGAACUGACAUGCAAACAUUAAAUAAUCUAACAAUAAAACAUAUUCAAACAAAGAGCCGCAGAAGCAGAUUAGUAGACUGAAAUAAAUGCAAAGAAAUUACUGAAGUAGAAAUUAUUAAUUAUUGUUAAUAACAGAUUUAUGAUCAACAAAUUUCUUUAAACUAACCUGGAUUUUCUCCUCCUAUUCUCUCUGUACCUGAUGCUCAGUAAGGAACAAGACAAAAAAAUGCUAUUUAGAUAAAGAUAUUAAAAUUUGCAUCCCUUUUUUCUUCUAGGCAGACCUAUUUAUAGAUUUCCUUUUGGGGUUUUGGGAGCAAUUGGGUCUUUUUAGUAAGUUACAAGUAAAGGCGGUCCAUUAGAAUUCUUCAAGCAUUUUGAUAGCCCACAUUUGCAAGAUGAAAUAUUUGAACACAAAUUCCCAUCAAAACCACAUUUCCUGAAAAACAAUCUAUCUGAUUUUCCUAUAAACUCACUUAAUAACCGAAACAGACCCCGGGAAAACCAAUCAAAUUGAAAGAGCUUCAGCUCGAACCCAAACAAGAAGCAAUAGACAGACAGACAGACAGACAUAAUUAUUCACAAACUUGCUUCAUAGUCCCAACCGCCAAAACCCUAAUUACAAAAUCACGAAAUUUCUUGUAAUAAGUGAUACAAUCAAUCAAAAUGUGGCAAAAAUAAAUACGUAAAAGAAUGAAACAGAAAAACGACACCUGAGAGUCGAGAAAUUGCCGGUUAAGUCAAUAUGGCAGAAAAUUCACACUGACGGUUAGGGAAUUUUUUGGGUUGAGAGUAUGGCCAAUUCUUCAAACCUUUUGCACUUGUUUGUUCGUCUUCCCCGUCGUCUUGUUCGUAGAAAUUAGAAUAGAGUAGACAGAAGCACGUCUCAACGAAGGGAAGUACCCUAAACAAGAUUGAUUUGAGGAAAUGGCUGUUUUGAACGAUAUAUGGGCCUUGAUAGAGUCUACCUUCAUUUAAAGCGAUGUGCAUUUAGGCCUUGGAGUGUUAGUAAAAGGAAAUUCUAUAAUAGAACAUCUUAAUUAUAUGCAUCCACAUUUUUAACAUGCUCAAAUAUAAAGCUUGAGUCCUACCCUCCUAUUAUGAGUUCAGCAGAAGUUAGCUGUUUCCCUUAAGAACCCAUGUCAGAGCUGCUUGUUUAUUUCUCUAGAAAAAAAGUGGAAAGUUAUUGGAAGCUUGAUGUACCCAAACUUAAAAAUCUACUAAAGCUUUGAAUUUUGAAUUUAAAAAGUGCCUUGCAAUAGCAAUGGAACAUGCAUCUGUUUGCGUUUGGAGUUCUCUUUAAGGUUUGAAAGUUUUUUUAUGUUCAUAUGCGUUUCUUUAUAUUUUAACAGUCUAAUUUUCCUCCAAGAAGCAUUUUUGGGGUGGAAGAUUUUCUUGAUGAUGACAACAGCAGACCGUAUACUUACCAGAAGGAGAAAAAGUCAAAAAAUCCGAACAAGCAUGUAUCCUUUAAGCAACGUACUGUAGCUUACAUGGAGCCAUUUACUCUUGAUGUCUUCGUAUCAAAGCGCUUUGUUUCCACCUCAAUCACACACAGUAACGAGCAAGCAGGUUGCAGUCGCUAGUACCGACUCCAAAGAUAUCAAGCCAGUACUUACAUCACAAUCUGAUGUACCUACAUGUUCAGCCCGUGGGCCGAAUUUUGGCUGAUAGAGCAAGAGAAGCAGAUGUGCGCACAUCUUCUUAUACUCCUAGAGAGAGAGACAAGUUCGGAGGAAAAAUUAGAGCAGUUUUUCAGUCCCUCAUUGAUAGUGGCAUUGAUAUCAAAGUUUUUCUUGAUUGAUCCGUGUUUUUAAUCUUUUCCCGCAGUUAUUAUGGCGAUGUGCCUUCAAGAUUCUCAGGGAUGAGAUCUGUAACUUUAGUUUGUAAAAUAGACUUAUGUUCUCAAACUUGAAAGAUAAGAACUUUUAAUCAAAGCAUUUAUGCUUCGGUGAACUGCAUUUUUCUGUAUUAUGUUGCAUCAGUGAAAUGCCAGAAGUUAGAAUAUAUUGUGUGGUGGGUUUCUUGUAUUUUCCUACUUUGGAGUUGGAAUUUAUUUGAAAAAUUAUAAUGAGGAACCGCCGAGUUUUUCUUAGCACGUCCAUCAGUUUUGGUCAAUGAACAAUGCCAUGAAAUAUCUGAAGCAUCGGAUAAAUCUUUGUGAAUGAUAAAUUUAAAUGCCAACAGGUUCUACUUGAAGCAUUGGGUUUUCUCUAUGGUGUGAUUCAAGAAACGACAACUUCAAUUAACCGUCAUUUUGACCCUGCUGUGUACAAGGAAAAACUAUACAAGGAAUUUAUAGGGCACACUUGGCAUUUUCACAUUAAAAGUUAGCCAAAAUAAAAAUAAAUAAAUAAAGGCAACCAUAUAAGUACUGCCAGCGCAGCAUCGGAAUACACCCUGUACAAAAUUCCAUGUACAAGAGAAUAACUGAGUUCUGAAAAUAUAUAGCUGGUGGAAGAAAAAUGUCUAAUGAUGGAAUUUAGUAAUGUAGCAAAGGACCCAAUCAGAACAUUUUUACGUUGGUGAGGGAUAGGGUUCAAUGCAAGCAGUGGAGGGAAGAAAGGAUUUUGGUUAUCAAUAUUCACUAUCAAGGUCCCAAGAGGACUUUUUAAUGUCACAUUAUUCUCUUAUUUGAACUUAAUUUUCUUUUUCUGAGAAGAAAGAUUGAUUCCAGAGAUCAAAAAAUUUAUUCAUUUUGACCUCCAAAUUUGGCAUAUAUUGGCGUCGAUGUGAAAAUUCACACCAUAUCAAUUGAGGGUCCACUUUAAUAUGGUCAAAGGAGUCUUUCUCAAAAUCAAACAUGAUAGCGCAAAAGGCCAACUAAGGCACACCAUAGAGGUCAUCACGGAAGAUGUAAUCUAGAAACCUAAUCAUAUAACGUUGCUGAAAAAGUGUUCCCCUUGGAUGGCAUCAUUAUCCGCAAAAAUCAAUCAAAAAGAAAUAAUGAUGGCCUAAGAUGCAGUGCUACGCCUAUGCAUCAUAAUGAUCUCGCCAUCAAAUUCCUCAGCCAAUUAAAUCCUUUCGAAAAAAGGCAAUGGCACACAAGCGUAGAUCAAACAUUUUACAAUUACAUAAUUAGGGCGACAAGCUCCAAUUUGGUGGUCUAUACAUAGGGCCAAAAGCUCAUUGACAAGGGCCACGCUGUUGAAAUCUCUCAACACGACUUAUACUAGAAUUCUUGCAAAUUACAUAAUUAUUACAUAAAAUCCCAGCAAAUAUUACACAAUUAUUCGACGAAAAAUUCCCUAAGUUAAUCUAAAGUUUCAUGCCAUUUUUAGUUAUCAACAUCAUAUAAUCUGUUAGAAUUCUGAGUUAUUUGGUGGUGCGAAGAAUGUGGACAAAAGAUAAAAGUGAAAAGAGUACUCGUCAAUCAGCUGGAUGCAAAGUGAAGUUUCAUGUGGUGGACGUGGAAUGUUCGUGCAGGUAGUGGAUGCUCGUGAUGAACAAGAUACAAUCAUAUUAUGACAGUGGGGCUACAAACAAGGUAAUCAAGUGCAAAAUUCUAACGUAUGAAAUAUACUAAACUACCAUCAAUAAAGAAACUAGAUUACAAUGAAAUCGAACUAAACGAUAAUAAAGGAGUUGGUACUUGUGACAUAUAAUAUUGAAAGGCGGCGUUUAAUUUUUAAAAGAUCAGUAAUAAAGAAUAGAAAGACCAUUUCAAAUCUUUAAUGCCAGCCUCUCAAUUGUCGGCAAUGCAUAUCCCAAUUCUUUCGUUUCUAACUGGGUUCCUGAUUGAUAUGUUUCUUGUUUCCUUAACCUGUUUUGUUCUUGUACACGGAUGCUUCUUUUUUUUUUUUUAAUUUCCUCAUUUUUUAAGGGAUAAUUGCAGCAAAAGCUCUCAAUCUUUGAAACACUUGCAGGCUUUUCUCAAACAUUUCAAUUAUUGCAGUCGUCACCCCUAAUAUUUUCAACUGUUGCAUGUGAGACCUUUUUGGAUGGUUUCCAUUCAAAAUGUCAUUAGUUGACUACCAAAAUAAAAUCUGACUUUUUUAACUAAUUAAGUGAAGGGUAAAAUGAUAGCUUUAUAAUUUUAUCAUAUAAAAUAAUUAAAAAGGAAAAGGAAAACAAAAGUCAUCUUCAUCCCCCAAUCCCCACUCUUCUAACCAUUCCCACCCCCACCCCACCUCAUUGCACCCCAAAAUCAAAAUCCCCAUUGCCUUCACUGGACAAUCACCACCACCACAACCCGUUGGCUGAAGGUAAUCCCCGUCGGCACUACUGGAAAUCUUCAACACCCCAUGAGGCACUCUACACGAAAAGGUAAUCUAUUUCUUCCAUUAGGCACUGGUUGGAGCAUGUAGUGUGAAUGAAAGGGAUCUACGUCUUUGAUCAGAUUCGUCCUAUUUUGUGAAGCAAAGUAUGAAGAAUCAACAAAUGAAGACCUUCUUUAAAUUGGAAGAUGGCUUUGAUGCCGAAAUCCCCAUGGGAAAAUAACUUCCAGCCGGCACAUUAUUUUUGUAAAUUUGAGGACUCGAGGCUGACUUCCCACACUCGGGCGAAUCCAGGAUCGAAGUCCAGCUAGGGCGAAGAUUGAUCGUUGACCGUCGACAAUCAACGAUCGUAAUAGUCCGACCCUUAUUUAAAAUUUGAUUAAAUAAUAUUAAAAGUUAUUCAAUAUAUAUAUGUAAAAGAACUAAAGCGACAAAAUUAUAUAUAUGUGAAAAUAUACUUCAAUACAACCCAAAAUACUAAAAAUAAAAAUUUACUUAUCCUAAUUUCCUAAACAUAAAUUCCCAAAUCAAUAAUCAUAACUCAUGUCUCAUAAAGUAUAAAUUACUUAUCAUAAAUAACAACAAUUCUCCAUAAUAACUCACAAGUCACAAGUCACAAAACUGUCAAAACAUAAAUCAUAACUCAAAUUUAUAACUUAUAAGACUAAUAAGUAAUAACAAAUUAACAAUUAACACAAUUUACAGUCUACAGGCAUGAGAUAACAAGUUUAACAACAUUCAUUAUUAUUUAUUCAACAAAUCAACUAGAAAUAGCCAACAAAAUAGAACAAAAUGUCAAAAACAAUACGCAAAAAAUAAAAAAACAGCAAUGAAAAUUAUGAAAUAGAACGGAAACCACUCACCACACCAGGCGAACUUGCAAAGCCGAAUUUUCUUCCCUGCUGUCUGUUGACCAGAACGACUAAACAGGAAGUCAGAAGCAGGCGCAUAACCCCGGAACGGCAAUCGAACUCGGCAGAAGAAGAAACACUGGCUUUAAGCUUUUGGACUUGGCUAAUGGCUGGCGGCGCAAGCGCGGUUGAACGGAUUUAGGAAGGGAAGAAAAGGGUUUUCUAACUUUUGGAUUUGGGAAUGAGAAAUUGAGCUUUUGGACUUGGCUAAUGGCUGGCGGCGCAGGCGCGGUUGAACGGAUUUAGGAAGGGAAGAAAAGGGUUUUCUAACUUUUGG